rnacentral:rRNA from 1 species
AGCCCUAGCACAGGUGCUGCAUGGCCGUCGUCAGGCUCGUGCCGUGAGGUGUUCGGGUUAAGUCCCCGCAACGAGCGCAACCCCGCCGUUAGUUGCCAGCGGUUCGGCCGGGCACGUCUAACGGGACUGCCCGCGAAAGCGGGAGGAAGAGGGGACGACGUCUGGUCAGCAUGGCCCUUACGGCCUGGGCGACACACGUGCUACAAUGCCCACUACAAAGCGAGGCCACCGGCAACGGGAGCUAAUCGCAAAAAGGUGGGCCCAGUUCGGAUUGGGGUCUGCAACCCGACCCCAUGAAGCCGGAAUCGCUAGUAAUCGCGGAUCAGCCAUGCCGCGGUGAAUACGUUCCCGGGCCUU